AUGUCUUCCACCAAAUUAUUUUGGUCCAACUGAUGAAUCUUUUGGAGUUAGAGCUGCAACUAGUAUUCUUCGAUCCAAACACCUCUGUUGGCAAAUCUCC